CCUGUCUCAUCUGAUGCUCCCCAAAAAGAAGAGGAAGCAAAUCAAAUGAACCCUAGAAUUUUACCAUUAUGAAUUCUGGGUUAGAUUUUCUGUAAGACUAGGAGUCUAAUCUCAAGUUAUACUUGCAAGAUAUUUCUGGUUUGAUGGAAGUUGUGAAGGGUGUAGGGAAAAAUCAGAGGAAAAAGAUAAGAUUAAGAUUAAAGAAAGAGAGAGAGCAAGAGAGAGAGGAGGAAUUUCUGGCUUCUUCUUCUUCUUCUUCAGAUACUGUUUCUGCUAUCUCCGAAGAACAUCUAGAAGAACUAAUGAAUAGAAUCAAAGAAGAUCCAUAUUUGAAACCUAUUGUUGAAGAUAUUGAAAUUGGUGGUCCAAUUGUAAUGAUGAUGUACUUGAAUAAUCCAGAGGUUCUACUGAAGUUGGGGGAGGCUAUGGGUUUUAUAGAUUCAAAUGGAGAAUAUAAAGUAGCGGCUGUGGCUGAUUAUAUAGAAGAUAAAGAACCACCACAUCUCUGGUGUUAGCUACAUUGAGACUACUACCAAUUGCAUGCUGAGUUGAUUAAGGUAAACAAGAAGAUUAUGAUUCAAGACAAGAGAAAAUUUGUUUUGUUUUCUUUUGUUUUUCGGUUCAAAUAGCUCUAAUCCCAAUAAGAUAAAAUUUGUGAUUUCUCCUGUGAAAUUCUUUUGAAAAAAUGCUAGUGUCAGAGAAAUCCUUUAUUUUGAGGUUAGUCAUAUGUGGAAGAAUUUAAACCUUACUAGCUUGGGUCUUUAACUCUCCAUGUAGUCAAUUAUGGAUUCAUCAUGUUUGAGUUUAGAAAAAGUGGAUAACGCAGUGUUGGACGUCGGAUGACUUUGAGGCUUGCAUCACCCUAUUAGCUGGGAUUUGGUGUCUCAGACCUUAUAAUGAUGGGGGUUUGGGUUUAAGAAAUGUGGAUAUCACUAAUAGUGCUGCUAAUUUGAGGCACAUGUGGGACUUGGUGAGUGGUAAAAAACCACUAUAUGGACUGAGUGGAUUCAUAAGAACAUCAUCAAAAAUUAAGAAGCUGAUUCUGAAUUGUUUGUUUAUCAUGUCUGGAGAUUUCCAGACAAGCAGGAUUUUUACAAGUAAAUUCUCUUCAGCAGAUCAAGUGGUUACUCUAUUUCAGAUGAUGUGAGAAGCAGGGUGCUCUCCAUUUCCUGCAAAGUUGAAGAUAACUCCUAUUCUAGGAGCUUUAUGGACAGACUCAUAGUUAGUUGUGAAUUUAUGUUGCCUGUUAUUGAGUUCUGCUCUUGGCUUGCUCCGGAGCCUGAUUUUAUGAUCAACUCUGUUGGUUCAAAGAAGUUUCUUACUGGUGGUUUGGGAGCUGUGUCGAGAACCGGUUCUGGUGGUGUUAUUGCAGCUGCAAUGGGAGGUUUCCCUCAGAUUCUGUUAAUGGUCAUGAAUUACAGGGUGUAGAGCUGGGGUUAAACCUGGCUAUUGUGAGAGGUCAGAUUUGGUGAAGAGUGGAGAGACUGAGAUCAUUUUCUGAGGUCUUGAAGAUUUCCCAUAUCUAUAGGGAAACUAAUAGAGCUGCGAAUCUACUUGCGGGUUACCAUCCUCUUAUCAAAUGGGUAGAUGUGGGAAUAGAUGAGCUCUCUCCUGAGUUAUGUGACAUUAUUAGAGAGGAUAGAGGGGGGAGAUUUACUCCCGUAGUUAGUUGUUUUGCUUUUCUGUAGAGAAAAAGCUAACAGGUUAGCAAACGACAUGCUAUUACGUGCAUAAGCAACUUAUUGAUUAGAAAACUGCAUGACUGGUUGUAUGUUAUCCUGGGUCUUCGGAAACUUUGCACUGGAAUCAUCUUUGCUGAUGCUGCCCAAAAGAAGAGUGGCUGAGUGCGUGUCGUCUUCUAGUGGAGUCAGUUGCAAGUCUAUCUACGAGUGUCUACCACCAACUCCUACCAGGGAAUAUGCUGAUGCUGAGAUUGCAGCUCGUGCUGUCAUGAAAGAUAUCUUGCAGACACCUCCUAUUGAAACGAAGACACCAAAAUUCGCUUUCAUGUUCUUGACUCCAGAUUACCUUUUGAAAAGCUAAGGGAUAAGUACUUCGAUGAAGAGUGGCUGAAUGGGUAUUAUCUUCAGCAAGAGCAUUUCUCUUCUCAUUCCCAAACUGGAAACCCAUGUUGGAGUCCUUUGGAAGCCGCAGUAUGAUCAAAAGUUUGCUUGAGAAGACAAUUUCCAGGAGUUCAUGCAUGGUUGACAAAUAUGCAAUCCUGAUUGUUCAUAUUCACAUGAUAUUGGCACAAAAGAAGACAGUUUUAGCAAAGAUGAUAUAAAUUUGGUGUAUACAAGGACCUUCAAUUUUAUUCUGGUCAUAACUCGGUUAUUGACUGCCAUCCCUGCGCCUCAGCCACAGAUUGAAACUUCUCCUCGUAGUAGCUCCGGUAAAUCUGCUGUGCGUCCAGCUUUGCAGCUUCGUGUUUAUCUCACUUCUCAGGGGAUUACACGUAUCAAAUGGUCGGCAUCCAGCUACAAGUAUGUCUUGUUCGGAUGGAUCUGCCAAUCAAAAACCUAAUGGUUCAUUUUCCUCUAUAGUUGCAAGCUCAACACAGGCAUCUAUGUUGCACAGUGAUGCAGGAUAAAGACCCAUAGUAAACUGAACCAGAUGGCAUGGCAAAGGUUGUGUAUUGUAGGUCCUGCUUCUACUAGUUUGGAUAACCACAUAUCUCGCUGUCCUACAUGUAGUGAGAUGGGAGUCACAACACCACCAUUGGAAAAUCAGGCGUUCAGGGGUAGUGAGAUGGGAAUUAAAAUGCCACUAGAUAAUACACCAGCGUGUUGAACAGAUUCUGUUGCAGAAGGUGGAAGCACCACUGUGAAUGGUACAGCUGAUAAUAUGUGCUCUGGAUUGGCAUCAAUAUGCAUUCGUAAUGAACCUACUCCUGAUGCAGCUCCUAGUCACCAAUCAUUUAGAUAACAUAGACCAGGCUAUGCAACAGUAUCAUUUGGAAGACAUUAUUAUUCUCCAUCCUCACUGCCCUCGGAGAGAACUAUCACUCCAGAUGGUGUGUUGCUUUCAUGCGAGCAAUCUGAUUGGAGUUCGGAGUUACCCUCACAAGUGAUGCCAGAAGUAUACAACCAAGUGAAAGAGGAAGCAUCAGCUUUUGAUGAGCAAAUUUUGAAGUUUUCAGAACUUACACAUCCACCUUGUAUAUCCGUUUAAUUUGUCUAACAGUUCCAGAACCUCAAAUUCAUUGAAUUUGUCCCGUCUUUUUUUAACUUGGUGAUUCUGCAGUAUCAGUAAUUUAACUGUACAUACGAAAGGUAAUGGAGUAUUGCCUCCAUUUGUGGACU